rnacentral:rRNA from 1 species
GACGAACGCUGGCGGCGUGCUUAACACAUGCAAGUCGAACGGAAAGGCCCUGCUUUUGUGGGGUGCUCGAGUGGCGGACGGGUGAGUAACACGUGAGUAACCUGCCCUUGACUUUGGGAUAACUUCAGGAAACUGGGGCUAAUACCGGAUAGGAGCUCCUGCUGCAUGGUGGGGGUUGGAAAGUUUCGGCGGUUGGGGAUGGACUCGCGGCUUAUCAGCUUGUUGGUGGGGUAGUGGCUUACCAAGGCUUUGACGGGUAGCCGGCCUGAGAGGGGGACCGGCCACAUUGGGACUGAGAUACGGCCCAGACUCGUACGGGAGGCAGCAGUGGGGAAUAUUGCACAAUGGGCGGAAGCCUGAUGCAGCAACGCCGCGUGCGGGAUGACGGCCUUCGGGUUGUAAACCGCUUUCGCCUGUGACGAAGCGUGAGUGACGGUAAUGGGUAAAGAAGCACCGGCUAACUACGUG